rnacentral:rRNA from 1 species
AGAAUACAUCCGGGUCAGGAAGAACGGGGGCGGCGUGCCUAAUACAUGCAAGUCGAGCGGACAGAUGGGAGCUUGCUCCCUGAUGUUAGCGGCGGACGGGUGAGUAACACGUGGGUAACCUGCCUGUAAGACUGGGAUAACUCCGGGAAACCGGGGCUAAUACCGGAUGCUUGUUUGAACCGCAUCGUUCAAACAUAAAAGGUGGCUUCGGCUACCACUUACAGAUGGACCCGCGGCGCAUUAGCUAGUUGGUGAGGUAAUGGCUCACCAAGGCAACGAUGCGUAGCCGACCUGAGAGGGUGAUCGGCCACACUGGGACUGAGACACGGCCCAGACUCUUACGGGAGGCAGCAGUAGGGAAUCUUCUGCAAUGGACGAAAGUCUGACGGAGCAACGCCGCGUGAGUGAUGAAGGUUUUCGGAUCGUAAAGCUCUGUUGUUAGGGAAGAACAAGUACCGUUCGAAUAGGGCGGUACCUUGACGGUACCUAACCAGAAAGCCACGGCUAACUACGUGCCAGCAGCCGCGGUAAUACGUAGGUGGCAAGCGUUGUCCGGAAUUAUUGGGCGUAAAGGGCUCGCAGGCGGUUUCUUAAGUUUGAUGUGAAAGCCCCCGGCUCAACCGGGGAGGGUCAUUGGAAACUGGGGAACUUGAGUGCAGAAGAGGAGAGUGGAAUUCCACGUGUAGCGGUGAAAUGCGUAGAGAUGUGGAGGAACACCAGUGGCGAAGGCGACUCUCUGGUCUGUAACUGACGC